ACAGUGACAGGGUUCAGACCAGGCUGAGGAAUAGAGCGCAGCUCCAACGCCAGGAACCAGCUCUCCAGUGCAGGAUGUCUGAAAAUCAAGGGAUUUGGUACCUUGUCAUUUGAAGACACUUCUGUCAUCAGAGGCUCCUCAUCCAUGAAGAGAUCCCAUCAGCCUGAUGCUCCUCCUGCUUCUGCUGCUGCUCCAGCUUUAUUUCAUUGUCCCGGCACAACAAGAUGCUCAGCAGGUCCACACAGAGAUCAACAAGCUGAGGACCCAAAGUUUUACCAAGCUAUGAAAACAAAGACAUGUUGGAAGUGAAGAAAAGAGGAGGAUGGGAGCAGACAGGUGCUUUAUCUUUAUUAAAAAGGAAAGGGCUGUUUGUUCUAAUUGUACUAGAAAUAAAUCAGGUGGUUGAAGAAAUAAGUCAGGUGGUUGCACACCUUGUCUGGCUGUGGUGUCUCCCUUCAGCUCUAGGAAUCACGCUUAUCAAGGUGUC